GAUGAACGCUGGCGGCGUGCCUAAUACAUGCAAGUCGAGCGAACGGACGAGAAGCUUGCUUUUCUGAUGUUAGCGGCGGACGGGUGAGUAACACGUGGAUCACCUACCUAUAAGACUUGGAUAACUUCGGGAAACCGGAGCUAAUACCGGAUAAUAUUUUGAACCGCAUGGUUCAAAAGUGAAAGACGGUCUUCCUGUCACUUAUAGAUGGAUCCGCGCUGCAUUAGCUAGUUGGUAAGGUAACGGCUUACCAAGGCAACGAUGCAUAGCCGACCUGAGAGGGUGAUCGGCCACACUGGAACUGAGACACGGUCCAGACUCCUACGGGAGGCAGCAGUAGGGAAUCUUCCGCAAUGGGCGAAAGCCUGACGGAGCAACGCCGCGUGAGUGAUGAAGGUCUUCGGAUCGUAAAACUCUGUUAUUAGGGAAGAACAUAUGUGUAAGUAACUGUGCACAUCUUGACGGUACCUAAUCAGAAAGCCACGGCUAACUACGUG
rnacentral:rRNA from 1 species